UAAAGAUAUACUAACUUACUAAUGCGGUAUCUAUAUAAGGCAAGCGAAGUAGUUUUCCAAGUCUAAUACUCUUCUAGAUAUUUCUUCAUUGUAUUUCAAGUCAAUAGGAGAAGUUAUAACCAUUAGCCAUGAGGGUAUUAUUAUUUAUUGCAUCGAUUUUAGCAAUUGUUGCUUGUGCAAAUACACUAUCACUGAGGCUGUGUAAAUUUCUGUGCCCACCUAUAAACCGGCCUGUUUGCAGCAGAGAUGGAAGUACUUAUCGUAACAUAUGUGUCAUGAAAUGUCGCGGUCGACCACUUUGUCACACAGGACCCUGCGAUCUUCGUCGUCCAUUUUGUAGUUCGUCUGAUGGUAAUCAAAGUUCUACCACUACUGUGAAGCAGUAAAAAGCAAGCAGAAUCCACCAAGAAGCAAUUUGUUUGAAGUAUUGAAACGGAUCACCUAGUUAUUUUAUAAUGAAAUUCAAAACUAUUUAAAGCAAUAAAGAAAUGAAGCAUUAAUACAAUUAUUUGUAUGUUUAAUAAACUUUAAUAAAAAAGCUUCGUCGUCCAAAUAAUCUAUAACCAUGAAAAAAAAUGUAUACAUGUGAAUAAACUACUUAAUAUGGAA